rnacentral:rRNA from 1 species
CAGUAGCCGCGGGAACACGAAGGGUGCAAGCGUUACUCGGAAUUACUGGGCGUAAAGCGUGCGUAGGUGGUGGUUUAAGUCCGUUGUGAAAGCCCUGGGCUCAACCUGGGAAUUGCAGUGGAUACUGGGUCACUAGAGUGUGGUAGAGGAUAGUGGAAUUUCCGGUGUAGCAGUGAAAUGCGUAGAGAUCGGAAGGAACAUCUGUGGCGAAGGCGACUAUCUGGGCCAACACUGACACUGAGGCACGAAAGCGUGGGGAGCAAACAGGAUUAGAUACCCGGGUAGUCCCUGUCUCUUAUAA